rnacentral:rRNA from 1 species
GGGUGAGUAACGCGUAUCCAACCUGCCCACCACUUGGGGAUAACCUUGCGAAAGUAAGACUAAUACCCAAUGAUAUCUCUAGAAGACAUCUGAAAGGGAUUAAAGAUUUAUCGGUGAUGGAUGGGGAUGCGUCUGAUUAGCUUGUUGGCGGGGUAACGGCCCACCAAGGCAACGAUCAGUAGGGGUUCUGAGAGGAAGGUCCCCCACAUUGGAACUGAGACACGGUCCAAACUCCUACGGGAGGCAGCAGUGAGGAAUAUUGGUCAAUGGACGAGAGUCUGAACCAGCCAAGUAGCGUGCAGGAUGACGGCCCUAUGGGUUGUAAACUGCUUUUAUAAGGGAAUAAAGUGAGUCUCGUGAGACUUUUUGCAUGUACCUUAUGAAUAAGGACCGGCUAAUUCCGUGCCAGCAGCCGCGGUAAUACGGAAGGUCCGGGCGUUAUCCGGAUUUAUUGGGUUUAAAGGGAGCGUAGGCCGGAGAUUAAGCGUGUUGUGAAAUGUAGAUGCUCAACGUCUGCACUGCAGCGCGAACUGGUUUCCUUGAGUACGCACAAAGUGGGCGGAAUUCGUGGUGUAGCGGUGAAAUGCUUAGAUAUCACGAAGAACUCCGAUUGCGAAGGCAGCUCACUGGAGCGCAACUGACGCUGAAGCUCGAAAGUGCGGGUAUCGAACAGGAUUAGAUACCCUGGUAGUCCGCACGGUAAACGAUGGAUGCCCGCUGUUGGUCUGAA